CCUACGGGUGGCAGCAGUGAGGAAUAUUGGUCAAUGGACGCAAGUCUGAACCAGCCAUGCCGCGUGCAGGAAGACGGCUCUAUGAGUUGUAAACUGCUUUUGUACGAGGGUAAAUCCCGAUACGUGUAUCGGGUUGAAAGUAUCGUACGAAUAAGGAUCGGCUAACUCCGUGCCAGCAGCCGCGGUAAUACGGAGGAUUCAAGCGUUAUCCGGAUUUAUUGGGUUUAAAGGGUGCGUAGGCGGUUCGAUAAGUUAGAGGUGAAAUCCCGGGGCUCAACUCCGGCACUGCCUCUGAUACUGUCGGGCUAGAGUGUAGUUGCGGUAGGCGGAAUGUAUGGUGUAGCGGUGAAAUGCAUAGAGAUCAUACAGAACACCAGUGGCGAAGGCGGCCUGCUGGACAGAAACUGACGUUGAGGCUCGAAAGCGUGGGGAGCAAACAGGAUUAGAUACCCUAGUAGUC
rnacentral:rRNA from 1 species